rnacentral:tRNA from 1 species
GCCCCUCUAGCUCAACUGGCAGAGCAACGGACUCUUAAUCCGCAGGUUCUGGGUUCGAAUCCCAGGGGGGGUA